CCCCCCCCCCCCCCCCAGGAGAAGCAGACAGCAUUUGAAAAGGAUGUGGAAGCAUCCAGAAAAAAAUCAGUUUCUGCAAAGCUGUCAGGAAACACUGGCAUCUUAUACACGGGCUUUGAAGUCAGUGGCGACACCGUCAGUCAAAGGAGACAGAAUUAUUCCCGUUUGCUGAUUAUGAGGAACAAAGAAGCUUUCAAAAAGAAGGUUCUUUCAGCGGUGGAUAAAAACAGGGGCAAAAUGGAUGUCAAGAAUACGCUUUGCUGUAGAGCAGUGGUCCUCAAGCUUUUGGAGCCGUGACCCCCCAAAAAAUGUCCCUUGUGCUUUAACCAGGUUCAACGAGUAUAAUGACUACUGGAAGAGAAACAACAUAAUGGAUUCAAAAAAAUAUGGAGGAACUCAGCAUGCUUCCUCAAAGGGCUCUAGACAGGAGAAGAAGAGAGCAUUUGAAAAGGAUGUGGAAGCAUCCAGAAAAAAAUCAUUUUCUGCAACGCUGUCAGGAAACACUGGCAUCUUAUACACGGGCUUUGAAGUCAUUGACGACACCGUCAGUCAAAGGAGACAGAAUUAUUCCCAUUUGGUGAUGAUGAGGCACAAAGAAGCUUUGAAAAAGGAGGCUCUUUCGACGGUGGAUAAAAACAGUGGCAAAAUGGAUGUCAAGCACAAAACGGACAUCAAGGAUCAGGAAGAGGUUCUUCAUGCUCUUUAUAAAAAGUCCAUCGAACAUUUCAACAAUGCCAACAAAAAGUUUGCAAUGCAUUCAUUGCUAACCAUGAUGGAAGAUCUGAGCUGCUCGGAUAAGAAAGAACACCAAGCAGAUGUCGACUCUGCAAAACAGGAGCACCAGCAGAACAGAAGCCAAAGCCCGAGCAUCAGCCCAAUGGAGUUGGGUGAACACAAAGAGGAACAGCAGCAGAGCAGCAGCACCAGCUCAUUGGAGUUGGGUGAACACAAAGAGGAACAGCAGCAGAGCAGCAGCACCAGCCCAUUGGAGUUGGGUGAACACAAAGAGGAACAGCAGCAGAGCAGCAGCACCAGCCCAUUGGAGUUGGGUGAACACAAAGAGGAACAGCAGCAGAGCAGCAGCAUCAGCCCAAUAGAGUUGGGUGAACUCAAAGAGGAACAGCAGCAGAGCAGCAGCACCAGCCCAUUGGAGUUCGGUGAAUGCUUGACCAGGGUGGCUGAACAAAUGGUGCUUCAUCCAAAGGAGUCUACAAUCGACCGUGAAAGCCCAGAGGAUGAAGCGUACAAUUACAAAGCUCCAUUGGAAAUUCAAAACAGUGGAUUACUUGAACCAGAUGCCAACUCUUCAAACGAGGAGCAAAGCAGCAGCAGCAGCAGCCCAAAGGGGUUUUGCAGAGGAGUGCUGUUUUUGGCAAAACAACAAAAGUCUAUCCCAAAGAAGGGAAUUGUAUUGCGCCAGGGAAAAAAAUAUUCUUUUGUCAAAACGAAGUGUGAAGAGGAGAAGAAAACACCAGUAGAAGAAUGUGCCACCAGCUCGGGGAUCGACUCGAAUGACAGCAGCAGCGACACGAGUCAAGACAAACAGUCAUCAACUGACCGUGAACAAAAGGACACCAGUGAUGACAGUGACGUGAACACUGACAAAGUGAAGUCAAGGAAGAAGCGUUCUUUACAAAAUGGUUUGAGAAAGAAGGUCGUCAAACUUCAGCAAACACCCUUAAUCAUCGGAAGAAGAAGUCAAGAGUGA
ensembl:lincRNA